rnacentral:lncRNA from 1 species
AAAUUGAUGAAUUAUAACAGAUCUAGGUAGAAUUUAUCCACCCCCAUCCCUACCCCCUUUUUGGGUAGAUAACAGAAAUGUGCAAUUCACUGUACUAUGGAGACUGGAAGGUCUACUACAUUUAUUGCUGUGCCAGUUCUCCUUAUAAGUUGUUGUUGCUGCUUUUGUUUUAUUUAUUCUGUCUAUGGGUGUGUUUGUUUUCUGUUUGUUUUUCUGUCUUUCUAGGUAGCCUUAGCUGGCCUGAUACUUGCUAUGUAAUCCAAAUUGGCUUUGAACUCCUAGCAAUCCUCCUGAGUUAACUCUCCGUGUGCUGGGAUUACAGGCUCUGACAAAAUGCCUGGGAGAAACAACUUAAGAGAAAAGGGUCUAUUUUGGCUCAUGUCAAAGGAUCCCAACUACGAUGGUGAGGCAGAUAUUGUGGUAGAAGUGGCUGAGUUAAGUUCUUAGUCUGUGUUGAUGUGAGUACCAAGCAGAUGGUCACUUCAUGAGGAGAAAACAGGGAGCUAGACUGGAUCCAGCGGUAUGUAUGGGAAGCUGCUUCUGUUUGCAAGGCCACAUAUUCCUAGUUCACAGCCUCAUACAACAGUGCCACAAGCUGGUGAGUUUUCAAAUACGUGCACUCCCAGGAACAUAAUAUAUGGAAAUAAUCUUGCAUCUCCUCACUGGUAAUCUUUGUCCGGGUGAACUGGAAGGGUCCUUAGAGUAGGAGUGAGCUGGAUUGCUAAACAGAGUUCCAUUAUUCUCCUAUCAGAUCAAUAAAUUUUCACUUGUUCUGAGGUACUAUUUAUGGAUUAGUAAAAUACCCACAAUAACAUCUACAGACAGAAAGGUAUAGGCUCAGAAAUUAACAGCCUUGAGUUGCAGGUGGAAGGUGCAGAAGCCAAAUUAAAAACAGUCUUUUCAGGCUGAGCUCAGGAGCCUGAAUUUCCAUGCUGUAAGUGGCUGGGAUCCACUGGAGGAUUUUAAUUGUGUAAGUUGACAAGAUCAGAUUUGCUAUUCAGAAAGCACACCCUGGCACAGAUCGGUGGGUGGAAUAGAAAGUGGUUGCCCUGGAGACAGGCAGACCCAUUAGGAAGCUCUGACAAAGAUCCAGGAGAGAGAAAAUGAGGAUAGUGGUUGGAGGAAUGAGCAGAUUCAAAGACAUUUUAGAGGUGGAACGGAUGGUCGGGAGACGCUCAUUCAGUGUAAAUGCUGAAGGAAAGGAAGAACCAAGGAGCGCUGUGGUUUCCAGCUUGGAUUUCUAUAUGGAUAGUGAAUAAUUAAUGAAGAUGUGGCGGGCGGGCAUAAUGGGGACUUAAGAGGGAGGUAGUUGUAGAUGGACGUGAUCAAUAUACAUUUGUUUAAAUGUGUAUAACUUUCAAAGAGUAAGAGAAUUAUUAUUUUAAUAGAUCAAGGUAUAAAAUACAAAAAAAAGUCAAAUGGGGGGGGGGGUUUGCUAAUGAAUUCAUAUGUGACCUGUUGAAUUUGAUGUAUCUUUUGGACUUGUAGGUGAAGAAGUCACAUGUGGUGAAUAUAUUAUCAUCAGAAUGCGGAGCAAUGAAAUGUAAACAGAUAGGAAUCGUCACUAAAGCUCCAACUGCAGCCUCCGGGUGCCAUAGCUUUUGCACCAUCCAUUUGCACCAUCUCUGCAUUGCUCUCAAUCACUGCCACGAGUCUGGUGAUGCGCUAAGCUCGGGGCAGGAUCUCAAGGGCUUUGAGGAUGUCUGCAUCAUCUGUAUUGACCUGCUCCCCAGAUUAAUACCGAAGCACUGCAAUUUCUUGAGGAUUAUCCACCUAGGAGGAAAUGAUACGCUGGCCCAUCCAUAGUAGUCAAGAAACAGUCUGAGAUCCAAAAAGUGGCUUAAAAGAGGGAAAAGUUAAUCAAAAUGUCUGUGAAGCUCUGGCUUCAGUCUCUCCAGCGAGGCUUUCUGAAGCACAGCUCUGAUAGAACUAAACCCAAUGAGACACCGCCUACAAGAGGAAUCCAGCGUGUGAACGAAGACUAAAAAGCAAAACAGCAGCGUCUGGAGUGGACAGCUUCUCUCACUCAGAGAACUGUAGCCUCAAAUUCCUGGCAGAGGUGAGACUAGAACUCAGUCUCAUGGUAUUGCCUACAGUUAACAACAUUAGUUGAAUUGUGUGUGUCUUAAUUUCACUUAUGUAAAUGGAAUGAACAGGUAGACAUGGUAGUGCGGGUCUGUCAUUCCGGCACCAGGGAGGCUGAGGCAGGAUAACAAUGUGUUAACAUUCCACCUGAUUUAUACAGUUAGUGUCAGACUAAUCUGAGCCAUAGGCUGAAAACUUGUCUCAAGUCAAUCAACGAAGAGAAGCAUAAAAAUAUCCCAACCAUCCUGAGAUUUUCAGUUUUAUAAGUAAAACAAGUCUAAGUCCAACAUGAGACUGCUAUUCAAACAAACAAACAAACAACAAACGCUGAAGAUGGGCCCAGGAGGGUCCUGCCAUUACUAGCAAAGGGCCGCCAUUACUAGGUCAAGGCCUAGACUCCGAUGUGAUUGGGUUGAGCAGGCAGCAUAGGCCUCAGUUUGCGGAAAAUGAAAAUGCAAGGUGCCUUUCUCAAAGUGAUUUUGAAUUUUAGCGGCUAGAGAGAGCAGAGUAUCAAACCACGAUGAAGGGCUUCUAGUUAUCACACACACACACACACACACACACACACAGAGAGAGAGAGAGAGAGAGAGAGAGAGAGAGAGAGAGGGAGAGAGAGAGAGAGACUCUGCCUUCACACUUGCUGACAACAAAAAUCACAUCGUCCUCCACACUCCCUGUGAGCACAGGAAGGACUACGUGAGGUCUCUGGAGUGUGAUAAGCUUCCCAUAGGAGACUAACCAGGAGAGAGCAUCUAUAUACCGAAUCUUAACUGUGCCUUUGCUUCUCAAAAUGAUAGCCUGCUGAUGCAAGGCUGUGAUUUCCUGAAUAUAUUCCCAUUUCUGUUGCCAGCCUUGUAUUCCCUAGGUUGUCCAAAAAAAAAAAAAAAGUUGUGGAUGUGAUGAUUCUUUUUUUUCUUUUUAUUAUGCUUCAGUGAGCUUUCAAACUUAGCUGGUCAGAAAUAAUGAAUUUAUGCGCGUACACACACACACACACACACACACACACACACACACACACACCUAGCCUACCUUAAUUUUAUCAGUUAAUAAAGAGAGCCAAACUAUUCAGAAUAUUUAAUACAAAGAACAAAAGAGUGGCACCGCCUGAAGAAUGUCAGCAGUGUUUUCAGCUCCGCCGCCCGCUCCGCCCUGUCUUGUUUUGCACUUUAUCUUCCUGGAGCCUUUCCAGGAGACAAAUCUUUCCAUCAGAAUCUUUGUGGGUUGAAGCCCGUGUCCUGUCAGGUUGUGUAUCAAAAUUUCUGGUGAAUUUUUCCUCCUCAAUAUUUCAGACCUAUAAAAAAGAUUUGCAAAGGCAGAACUCUAGAUAUUAUAAUCACUCCAAGCACAGAAAAAAAAAAGUGGUAAAAGUUUUUCUUUUUCCCACUGCUAAAUACAGAAUGUUCCUCUGUUAGGUACCCUUAACACUGACAAAGCAUAUAUUUUUGUUUUAUC